CUCCCCCCGCCCUCCAGCCGCCCAAGAUGGCCGCCGCCGCGCCUCACCGCCCGGAAGUGACGGCUCCUCUGCUCUCCCAGCUACUGGAGUCUUCUGGACAGCAGCCACCACUCCACCCCAAAGAGAGGUGUCUCCUCAUGCCGCCUGAUGGAAAAAGAGAGGCAUCAGAGGAGGGAGAAAAGGAAGGAAAGAGGGACAGAGGCCAGAGUUGCCUGCGGCAUCCCUUCAUUCAAAGCACUCCAGGGUGCCAUGCUGAAAACCCCUGGACUAGGGGUCAGACAUGGCUGCAGUCUUGCUCUCUGUCCUAUUUUAGAUCACUUUUAUUUGGUGGUAUAUUUGGCAUUCCAGAAAACAGGGCAGGUGCUGUUUGUUUUGUAUGCCCUUGAAGAGACUGAAUAAAAAUUAUUAUUAUUAUUAUUAAGAAUAUUAAAGUAUAAAAAUAAAAAACUCAGCCAAAGGGCGGGGUAUAAAUAAUAAUUUAUUAUUAAUUAUUCUUAUUAACAUACAUCCAUAAAUGACAAGUGUCAUGGCUAAAGCAAUUAAAGUGUUAAAAUACUGA